rnacentral:tmRNA from 1 species
GGGGCUGAUUCUGGAUUCGACGGGAUUUGCGAAACCCAAGGUGCAUGCCGAGGGGCGGUUGGCCUCGUAAAAAGCCGCAAAAAAUAGUCGCAAACGACGAAAACUACGCUUUAGCAGCUUAAUAACCUGCUUAGAGCCCUCUCUCCCUAGCCUCCGCUCUUAGGACGGGGAUCAAGAGAGGUCAAACCCAAAAGAGAUCACGUGGAAGCCCUGCCUGGGGUUGAAGCGUUAAAACUUAAUCAGGCUAGUUUGUUAGUGGCGUGUCCGUCCGCAGCUGGCAAGCGAAUGUAAAGACUGACUAAGCAUGUAGUACCGAGGACGUAGGAAUUUCGGACGCGGGUUCAACUCCCGCCAGCUCCACCA